GAUCCAAGGAGGCGUUCUGCCUCGAGACUG
rnacentral:sRNA from 1 species